rnacentral:tRNA from 1 species
GCCGGUGUGAUGGAAUGGUAGACGUGAUGGACUCAAAAUCCAUUGUUGGCAACAACGUGUCGGUUCGAGUCCGACCACCGGUACCA